GCAAUAGUGAGCUUGCAUUAGGGGCAACGUGCGAGUACCUGUUACUUAUACGCCCUUGGGAAGGUCUGAGAGAAGAACCGUUGUUAGAACCGAAAUGGUUCCUCAUGGAAACAUGAGGCGGGCAAAGAGAAAAUGAUGUUUGUUUGAAGGUAGCAAAUGAUUCUUGUUGUGAUGAUGCCGUGACCUUCAAAUGAAAUUGGGAAAUGCUCGUGGUUAGAAUAAGAAGCUCGAUAUGCGAGGCGCCUGCUGCGGGCGUAACUCAAUUCAGACUACUCCGCUAUUGC
rnacentral:RNase_P_RNA from 1 species